GCACGAGAAGAAAAGCAUAUUCGGAUGCGAGGAAAUAACAUAAGUAUGCGUUGCUUAAACUAGAAAGCUUUAAAGCAAAAGUUAUGUAAACGGGUCAAUACCUUGACCCGAGCCAGGUACACUUUGGGAUGCCGGAAGACGAUCAAGCUCAACGAAGAACCGAACACACCAUAGAUACACGCUUCCGCACUUUGCUAUGUUGAAAAUUUUAAACAACGAAUUCAAC
rnacentral:lncRNA from 1 species